rnacentral:rRNA from 1 species
GUGGGGAAUAUUGGACAAUGGGCGAAAGCCUGAUCCAGCCAUGCCGCGUGUGUGAAGAAGGUCUUCGGAUUGUAAAGCACUUUAAGUUGGGAGGAAGGGCAGUAAGCUAAUACCUUGCUGUUUUGACGUUACCGACAGAAUAAGCACCGGCUAACUUCGUGCCAGCAGCCGCGGUAAUACGAAGGGUGCAAGCGUUAAUCGGAAUUACUGGGCGUAAAGCGCGCGUAGGUGGUUCAGCAAGUUGGAGGUGAAAUCCCCGGGCUCAACCUGGGAACUGCCUCAAAAACUACUGAGCUAGAGUACGGUAGAGGGUAGUGGAAUUUCCUGUGUAGCGGUGAAAUGCGUAGAUAUAGGAAGGAACACCAGUGGCGAAGGCGACUACCUGGACUGAUACUGACACUGAGGUGCGAAAGCGUGGGGAGCAAACAGGAUUAGAAACCCGUGUAGUCC